CACACUUCUCAGCCUUUUGGCUAAGAUCAAGUGUGAAAUCUGUUCUUAUCAGUUUAAUCUCUGAUACGUCCCCCACCAGGGGACUUCGCUGGGGCAGCGGUGGUCUAGUAGAUAAAGAAGAUGUCUU
ensembl:snRNA U2 U2 spliceosomal RNA